UACGAAGGGUGCAAGCGUUAAUCGGAAUUACUGGGCGUAAAGCGCGCGUAGGUGGUUCGUUAAGUUGGAAGUGAAAGCCCCGGGCUCAACCUGGGAAUUGCUUUCAAAACUGGCGAGCUAGAGUACGGUAGAGGGUGGUGGAAUUUCCUGUGUAGCGGUGAAAUGCGUAGAUAUAGGAAGGAACAUCAGUGGCGAAGGCGCCCACCUGGACUGAUACUGACACUGAGGUGCGAAAGCGUGGGGAUCAAACAGGAUUAGAUACCCUGGUAGUCCACGCCGUAAACGAUGUCAACUAGUUGUUGGGUUCCUUGAGGACUUAGUAACGCAGCUAACGCAUUAAGUUGACCGCCUGGGGAGUACGGCCGCAAGGUUAAA
rnacentral:rRNA from 1 species